rnacentral:rRNA from 1 species
AUUGAACGCUGGCGGCAUGCCUUACACAUGCAAGUCGAACGGCAGCACGGGGGCAACCCUGGUGGCGAGUGGCGAACGGGUGAGUAACACAUCGGAACGUGCCCAGUAGUGGGGGAUAGCUCGGCGAAAGCCGGAUUAAUACCGCAUACGACCUACGGGUGAAAGCGGGGGAUCGCAAGACCUCGCGCUAUCGGAGCGGCCGAUGUCAGAUUAGGUUGUUGGUGGGGAAAGGCCUACCAAGCCGACGAUCUGUAGCUGGUCUGAGAGGACGACCAGCCACACUGGGACUGAGACACGGCCCAGACUCCUACGGGAGGCAGCAGUGGGGAAUUUUGGACAAUGGGCGCAAGCCUGAUCCAGCCAUGCCGCGUGAGUGAUGAAGGCCCUAGGGUUGUAAAGCUCUUUCGCCAGGGACGAUAAUGACGGUACCUGGAUAAGAAGCCCCGGCUAAC